UACGUAGGUGGCAAGCGUUGUCCGGAAUUAUUGGGCGUAAAGCGCGCGCAGGCGGUCCUUUAAGUCUGAUGUGAAAGCCCACGGCUCAACCGUGGAGGGUCAUUGGAAACUGGGGGACUUGAGUGCAGAAGAGGAGAGUGGAAUUCCACGUGUAGCGGUGAAAUGCGUAGUAUAUCGGGAGGAACACCAAUUGCGAAGGCAGCUUGCUGGGACGGUACUGACGCUGAGGCGCGAAAGCGUGGGGAGCAAACAGG
rnacentral:rRNA from 1 species